AGUGAACGCUGGCGGUAGGCCUAACACAUGCAAGUCGAACGGCAGCACAGUAAGAGCUUGCUCUUACGGGUGGCGAGUGGCGGACGGGUGAGGAAUACAUCGGAAUCUACUUUUUCGUGGGGGAUAACGUAGGGAAACUUACGCUAAUACCGCAUACGACCUACGGGUGAAAUCAGGGGAUCUUCGGACCUUGCGCGAUUGAAUGAGCCGAUGUCGGAUUAGCUAGUUGGCGGGGUAAAGGCCCAACAAGGCGACGAUCCGUAGCUGGUCUGAGAGGAUGAUCCGCCACACUGGAACUGAGACACGGUCCAGACUCCUACGGGAGGCAGCAGUGGGGAAUAUUGGACAAAGGGCGCAAGCCUGAUCCAGCCAUACCGCGUGGGUGAAGAAGGCCUUCGGGUUGUAAAGCCCUUUUGUUGGGAAAGAAAAGCAGCAGGUUAAUACCCCGCUGUUCUGACGGUACCCAAAGAAUAAGCACCGGCUAACUUCGUG
rnacentral:rRNA from 1 species